UACGGGGGGAGCAAGCGUUGUUCGGAUUUACUGGGCGUAAAGGGCGCGUAGGCGGUCAGCACAAGUCAGUUGUGAAAUCUCCGGGCUUAACUCGGAACGGCCAAUCGAUACUGACGUGCUAGAGUGCAGAAAGGGCAAUCGGAAUUCUUGGUGUAGCGGUGAAAUGCGUAGAUAUCAAGAGGAACACCUGAGGCGAAGGCGGGUUGCUAGGCUGACACUGACGCUGAGUGCGCGAAAGCCAGGGGAGCAAACGGG
rnacentral:rRNA from 1 species